rnacentral:rRNA from 1 species
AGUGAACGCUGGCGGUAUGCCUAACACAUGCAAGUCGAACGGCAGCACAGUAAGAGCUUGCUCUUACGGGUGGCGAGUGGCGGACGGGUGAGGAAUACAUCGGAAUCUACUUUUUCGUGGGGGAUAACGUAGGGAAACUUACGCUAAUACCGCAUACGACCUACGGGUGAAAGCAGGGGAUCUUCGGACCUUGCCCGAUUGUAUGAGCCGAUGUCGGAUUAGCUAGUUGGCGGGGUAAAGGCCCACCAAGGCGACGAUCCGUAGCUGGUCUGAGAGGAUGAUCAGCCACACUGGAACUGAGACACGGUCCAGACUCCUACGGGAGGCAGCAGUGGGGAAUAUUGGACAAUGGGCGCAAGCCUGAUCCAGCCAUGCCGCGUGGGUGAUGAAGGCCUUCGGGUUGUAAAGCCCUUUUGUUGGGAAAGAAAAGCAGCAGGUUAAUACCCCGCUGUUCUGACGGUACCCAAAGAAUAAGCACCGGCUAACUUCGUG